AGUGAACGCUGGCGGUAGGCCUAACACAUGCAAGUCGAACGGCAGCACAGUAAGAGCUUGCUCUUACGGGUGGCGAGUGGCGGACGGGUGAGGAAUACAUCGGAAUCUACUUUUUCGUGGGGGAUAACGUAGGGAAACUUACGCUAAUACCGCAUACGACCUACGGGUGAAAGCAGGGGAUCUUCGGACCUUGCGCGAUUGAAUGAGCCGAUGUCGGAUUAGCUAGUUGGCGGGGUAAAGGCCACCAAGGCGACGAUCCGUAGCUGGUCUGAGGGGAUGAUCAGCCACACUGGAACUGAGACACGGUCCAGACUCCUACGGGAGGCAGCAGUGGGGAAUAUUGGACAAUGGGCGCAAGCCUGAUCCAGCCAUACCGCGUGGGUGAAGAAGGCCUUCGGGUUGUAAAGCCCUUUUGUUGGGAAAGAAAAGCAGCAGGUUAAUACCCCGCUGUUCUGACGGUACCCAAAGAAUAAGCACCGGCUAACUUCGUG
rnacentral:rRNA from 1 species